GUUUUGCUAAGACCUGUGCAUAGUGCUUCUCAAUAACUAUAAAAAAAGGAGAAAAAAAAUUAUACAUUGCAUAAUUCUAUUCAGCUGAGUUACAGGCACAAGCCUACAAAUGUUUUCAAGUUUAAGAUAUACAGCUUAAAUAUACGAGUUUGUGCUGAACAAAUCAUUUAGUUUAUUUAACAGUAAGAGAAUACCCUCAUAAACUCAAGGACCCUUAAAAUCUCCCCAGGGCAAAAAAGAUGAAUUGUUUCUGUUAGUAUGAAUGUUAAAACAUGUAGUAAAAUGGCCAAAUAUAAUAGAACAGGGAGGUUUUAAUGGCACAGUUUCAAACUCUACAGCAUUUCAUUUAAAAAAAAAGGGCAAACAUAUUUUCUGAUUUCCCUAAUGUCUUUUUCUUUAGUGAAAUCUCUGUGCUGUAUUCAGUUUAAUUUGGGAACUCAGUUUAUUUACUAAGUUGUUUUUGCUAUUGGCUCUCUGUAAAGUGUCAGCAUAAAACCCUUAAAUUUAUUCCUCAAAUUCAUUUGUAUCUUAUUAAAUGCAGUUUUUUUUCUUUUGCAAGAUUUCAAACAAGCAAAGUCACAUCUAAAUCAAGUCAGUUUGUGGCACAUAGCAUGAAGCACCAAGGGGUUUCAAGCCAGAUAAAUGACUGCCAAUUGCAACACGGAGCAAAACAGUGACACUAUCCAACAAUUAAAUAUACAUCAAACUUUUCAAAAUGCUGUUAAAAUGUUCUUGAUGAACUUUUACUUUAAUUAUCAGAGCUUAAAAAUUAUUUCCUAAUGAAUGACAGUACAAAGUAUUAAUUGUAACUUCCAAAACAUCCCGUAGACAUAACUGCAGGAUUGAGGGUGAUUUAACAAGCAAAAGUCAUUAUCAUUUUUAUUGUUCUAAAUAAGAACAGUGCAAGGGCAUGGCCAUUAAUUUGUUGGCAUGUGAGAAGUAUUCUACACUGGUUCCUUUUAAGAUGAAAAGCAUAUAAAAGGAGUUUGAAUAAUUGUAUCCUUUUUUUGUGAAUGUCUGUUUUGUCUAUAGUUGCUAUUUUAUUCUUUACAUCUAUGUAUUAUCAGCCUUGGGUCGUAUAGGUUUAAUUUCAUCAUAUCCCUGUACCAGUAAGGAAUAUAUUUUACUAAUGCUUUUAUAUCCCUCUACACAAGCCUAAUCCAUGUAAAUGUAAAACUGGGCAUACAUUAAAAGAUUCGCUCUUUUGAAAAGGUCCAUUUGGCUACCAGCAAACUGGGCCAAUCUGGGAUGAUCUGAUUGUUUGGGUCCUGGGUAAAUCUUUGAAUCAUAUUGGAACUCUAGGGAGGCCAGUCAGGACAGUGUGCAUCAGUGCAGUUAUUUAGCUGUUUGGCUAGAGGUUAAACAGACUACGGGGAUGGCCUCAUACAUGGGCCAAUAAAACUAUUCACUUGCUCUGGACAGACUGAGUUGGCUCCUUUUAUUAGCCUGUGUAUGGCAACCUUUAUUCAAUGUGUGUUCAUAAAUCAAAGAUAAAGGAUAAGGCUAUCAUUUAUAUUGCGCUUUUCUCCUGUGGGACUCAAAGCACUUUAAAGCAAGCAAGGCAACCAUUAUAAGUGCACUAAGUAUGCGGAGACACCAGAAGAUUAAGUGACUUCACCAGAGUCACAUUUGUGGUUAUCGUUGAAAUUAAUUUAUUCAUGGUUUCAAAAAACUCUAAAACCACUAUAAUCAGAAUGUUGAUAAAUCUACCCCUAAAUUGUGGAUAUGCAGUUUUUUAACCGUUCACCAGGAAAUAGGAUGCAGGCUAAUGUUCAGUGAAUUAGUCCUGUUUUGCUUCAGCAACAAUUUUGCAAAACAGCAAAUGCAUUGAAGUCAAUGGGAAUCUUUUUGUGUUUACUUUUUUUUUUGCAGCCAUUGGAGUCUAUGGGAGUAUUUUUGCGGUGGAAUCUGGCACAAAAAUUUGCGCAUCACUAGAUGGAGCAACUCUCAAGAUUCUGUGAUUCAUUUCAGAUACUGUAUAUCUCUCUCUUUCUCUGGGCAACCGUCUACAUUCAGAUGAGGAGCAGCUUCUUCAGGCCGAGGAGUGGAGGUCGUAGCCAGCAAGCCCACAAACGUCUCACACUAACCGAAGGCUUGCCUGAGGAUGGGAACAGGAAGCACCGGAGUGGAGAGAGGCCGGAGAGCCAAAACGCAGUAACAACAGGAUCAAGCAGGAGGAUGGUCAGACAGGUCUGGGUCGAAGCAGGCAGAACAGGUUCAAAAGCGGAUUCCAGGCAGAGGUUAACAACAGAAGAAUCAGAAUAGGGAAAAACGCCAGGCACCAGGAUAACUUGAUAACCAAGCAAAGAUGGCAUGUACAUGGCGACUAUUUACAGAGUGGCGACAAGACGCAAGUGCGCGCUGCGUCAGGACGCAAGUCGAAGCGUGCGGACGUGUGCGCACGACUUUUUGCCGUGCGUGACUUUACGCACGCAACUUUUCCCCAUGCUGUUCAUUAUACUGUGCGUGCUGCGACUCAGACACAUGCGCAUCCUUACACUGCUGAUACAUUAGCUGAACUGGUACUGUAGCACAAGAACAUUUAUUAUUCUAGUAACUUCCCCUUUAUAAUAAGUUUUAUUUGAAGGGAAGUUUUUGCUAAAUUAAGAUAUAUAUUGCUCAAAUUGUUUUUCUGUUCUUAUUUCCUGACAGGGCCUGUGAAGCAUAUCAUGUGUGCAAUUUUUAUGCUGGCUUACAGGCUUCAUUACUUAUUGUUCUGUAGAGUGCAAAUACGAGACACAGCUUGUCACAAGAGAAUAAGUCAAAAUAACAAGUUUGAAGUCAAGUGUUACACUUGCCAAAAUACUCUACAACUUGUUCUUUCUUAGGUCAGUAACCAACAGAAAAGACUAUUAGUAGUUCAUCCAGCUUGAAAAUACACGAGCACAAAUAAUACACUAUACUGAUAAUAAACAAUACAAAUGCUUCACCUAAUACCCCUAGUACAUAGAUAUUUCUUAAUUACAAAAUAAGCAAAAAGUAUAUUCUGCACAAGCCCUAUUCGUUUUUGUUUUCAAAAAUCUCAUCAUCUCCAUACAUUAUAUUGUAUUCUAACAAAGCAUAAAAGACUAGCUGUUGAAUCUACCCAUCCUAAAAAGAAAAUCAGCCUUUCAGUUACAAAAAUCAAAAUAACUUUAGUAUUUCAAUUACCGUCAGUGUGUUCAUAUUGUUGCUCCAAGUUCUAAUGUAGGAUUUAUAACAUGUUAGUAAGAGCUAUUUACAUUUCAUAUAACUUGUAAUCAUGAACUCUACAUUGCAGUAUCUACAAAAUAUAUUUUAUAAACUUACAUUUUCAGAAAAUAACCAAUAGAGAUUUACAUAUAUAGUAUUCCAAUGGCUAAUUUAUGUUACUGCUACUAAUAAAAAAGUACCUUUUCUGCAUUCUAUAGUUAAUCAAUGAUUUAGCCUAAGGAAAGGAACUGUUAUGCAUUGCUUCCUUAUUUAACAAGAUUAUACUUUCCAACAUUCAGGCAAAUACCAUCAUUAAUUUUAAUUCACUUCAGCUCAUGCUAAGAAGGAUGCUUGAUUGAUAAUAUUCUGACACGAGAACAGGGAAGUUACCUGACCUUAGCAAUAUUCACUCAUGUAUAUGCUCGUUGUAUUAGUUUAUAUUGUUGGUUUCAUUUAACUCAUGAAAUAGAAUGCCAAGCUACUGUGCAUUAAAAAUGUUUAGCUGCAGUAUAUAAAUGAGUAUGUGGUAUUGCAGGCGAUAUGUAUAUGUCUCCAGUGAAAUGGCAAUAAGAAUGGUCCAGGAUUUCGUAAACCCCUCACUGAAUCUAUACAUUACGUACAUAUUAUACUACAUUUUUGGAAGGAUAUCAGAAGCUUGGAAUCUAAAGAGAAAAAUAAAGAAAAAUGUGAUUUAGGCAAAGAAUGUUGUGGUGCAUAGGGGUUGAUGGAACUGACAUGUUUGCCUUGCUUUCUUCUUCAUGUCUUUUAGGCAUUUGUGUAUCUUAGCUGUGUUGUGAACAAGUAAAAUGAUUGACUAUUUAUAAAAUAUUGAUGGGAUAAAAGCUGUAAAAAUAAAACAAUUGUACCUGAA